GAUGAAGAACGCAGCGAAAUGCGAUAAGUAAUGUGAAUUGCAGAAUUCAGUGAAUCAUCGAAUCUUUGAACGCACCUUGCGCCCUUUGGCCAUUCCGAAGGGCAUGCCUGUUUGAGUAUCAUGAACACCUCAACUCUCAUGGCUUGCCAUGAUGAGCUUGGACUUUGGGGGUCUUGCUGGCCUGUGGUCGGCUCCUCUCAAAUGAAUCAGCUUGCCAGUGUUUGGUGGCAUCACAAGUGUGAUAACUAUCUGCGCUCGUGGUUUCCCUCAGAUAACCUCCAGUGAUGGAGGUUCGCUGGAGCUCAUAAAUGUCUCUCCUAAGCGAGGACAGCUCUUUUCAUGUUUGAUCUCAAAUCAGGUAGGACUACCCGCUGAACUUAAGCAUAUCAAUAAGCGGAGGA
rnacentral:misc_RNA from 1 species